UUUAUUAGAAGAGACGCAUUUAUUAGAUAAAAAGCCAAUGCAUGCUUUUACAGUAUGAAAAUUGGUGAUUUAUAAUAACUUAGCAAAUCGCAAAGUGAAAACAGGCGAUAAAUCAUUCAAGUUUCUGACCUAUCAGCUUUCGACGGUAUGGUAUUGGCUUACCGUGGCAGUGACGGUUAACGGGGGAUUAGGGUUCGAUUCCGGAGAGGGAGCCUGAGAAACGGCUACCACAUCUAAGGAAGGCAGCAGGCGCGCAAAUUACCCAAUUCUAACAGUUUGAGAGAGGUAGUAACAAGAAAUAACAAUACAAGGCAGUUAAAAUGCUUUGUAAUUGGAAUGAUAGAAAUUUAAACCCUUUUUAAAGUAUCAAUUGGAGGGCAAGUCUGGUGCCAGCAGCCGCGGUAAUUCCAGCUCCAAUAGCGUAUAUUAAAAUUGUUGCAGUUAAAAAGCUCGUAGUUGAAGUUCUGCUAAAAGUAACCGGUCUGCUUUGAAUAAAAGUGGUAUCUUGGUAUGUAUUUAGCAAUGAUGUCCUUUGAAGUGUUUUUUACUUUAUUGUAAUAAAGCAUAUUCAGGACUUUUACUUUGAGAAAAUUAGAGUGUUUCUAGCAGGCCAACGCUUUGAAUA
rnacentral:rRNA from 1 species